CCUACGGGGUGCUGCAGUGGGGAAUAUUGGACAAUGGGCGAAAGCCUGAUCCAGCCAUGCCGCGUGUGUGAAGAAGGCCUUCGGGUUGUAAAGCACUUUCAGUGGGGAAGAAAGCCUUGGGGCUAAUACCCUCGAGGAAGGACAUCACCCACAGAAGAAGCACCGGCUAACUCCGUGCCAGUAGCCGCGGUAAUACGGAGGGUGCGAGCGUUAAUCGGAAUUACUGGGCGUAAAGCGCGCGUAGGCGGUCUGAUAAGCCGGUUGUGAAAGCCCCGGGCUCAACCUGGGAACGGCAUCCGGAACUGUGAGGCUAGAGUGCAGGAGAGGAAGGUAGAAUUCCCGGUGUAGCGGUGAAAUGCGUAGAGAUCGGGAGGAAUACCAGUGGCGAAGGCGGCCUUCUGGACUGACACUGACGCUGAGGUGCGAAAGCGUGGGUAGCAAACAGGAUUAGAUACCCGGGUAGUC
rnacentral:rRNA from 1 species